ensembl:rRNA 5S_rRNA 5S ribosomal RNA
GCUUACGGUCAUACCACCCUGAGCACGCCUGAUCUCGUCUGAUCUCGGAAGCUAAGCAGGCUUGGGCUUGGUUAGUACUUGGAUGGUAGACUGCCUGGGAAUACCAGGUGCUGUAAGCU